rnacentral:rRNA from 1 species
GUAGGUGGCAAGCGUUGUCCGGAAUUAUUGGGCGUAAAGCGCGCGCAGGCGGUUCUUUAAGUCUGGUGUGAAAGCCCACGGCUCAACCGUGGAGGGUCAUUGGAAACUGGAGAACUUGAGUACAGAAGAGGAAAGCGGAAUUCCACGUGUAGCGGUGAAAUGCGUAGAGAUGUGGAGGAACACCAGUGGCGAAGGCGGCUUUCUGGUCUGUAACUGACGCUGAGGCGCGAAAGCGUGGGGAGCAAACAGGGAUUAGAUACCCUGGUAGUCCACGCCGUAAACGAUGAGUGCUAAGUGUUAGGGGGUUUCCCGCCCCCUUAGUGCUGCAGCUAACGCAUUAAGCACUCCGCCUGGGGAGUACGGCCGCAAGGCUG